CUCAUUGUCUUUCGCUGCCACCAUGUAAGAAGAGUCUUUUGCCUCCCGUCAUGAUUCUGAGGGCUCCCCAACUACAUAGAACUGUAAGUCCAAUUAAACCUCUUUUUCUUCCCAGUUUCUUCCCAGUUUCUUUCCCAGUUUCAGCAUGAAAAGAGACUAACACACCUAUAUAUAAUAAAUGUUCACUUAUUAUACUCUAUGUUGUAGUCAUAAUGAAAGGAAAUACUAAAUAACAAAAUGUUUAGAAGUGAUUAUCUCUAGAUGGUGGGAUGACGGGAUUUAGGUGGCUUUAUUUUCUUUUUCUUUUUUUUUUUUUGUUUAGAGCAGACAGCACCUCUCUCUCCCAGAGUCCCAAGGCAGAGCUCGGUCAUUUCCUCUGAGGGCCUUUGAUCUGCAUCCUCCCCCAAUCCCGCCUAGCCCCAUCUGAGAGUUCAUCAGGGUUAAUGAGCCACAGCUUUGCGUGACAGACACUGAGACCAGAACUUUCCUCCUGUCAGUCCUUAUCUGGACAGCCCUGAGGAACUCCAGGAUACCUCAGAAACUGGCCUAUUAGGGUUGAUUGGUUAAUUGGAAAUUCCCGAGGAUCUCCAUUGAGGCCUUCUCCACCCACAGCCUGAAGAUCUUUCCAGUCUCAGUGCCAGCUAGGACCCUGCUGCUCACAAGCGUUGCUCCUCUGCCCGAGCGGGGCAGGGAGAGGCCGCUCUGUGCUCCCCAGCCUGGGGCUCAUGCAGUCACCUCCCAGGGAGCCUGGGCCCAGGCCCCAGAGGUAUAAACACAUGCCAUGGAGACAUAGGAGGCCAGGUGGGAAGAAGUCAGAGAGAGGUGGGUUCAGCUUAGAGGUGGGGUCAGCACGCAGACCAGUGGGCAGCCUGCUUCCUCUUUGCCUUUGCACGGACAGCUCCACGCCCAAUAAUUAAAACAUUAAGCCAGGCAUGGUGGCUUAUGCCUGUAAUCCCAGCAUGUUGGGAGGCUGAGGCAGGAAGGCAGGAGUUCAAGACAGGCCUGGGCGACAUAGCAAGACCUCGUCUCUAUCAAACAAACAAACAAAAAGAAUUAGAACAUCAUGUUUCCCUCAGAGUUAAACCAGCCAGGUCCACCCAUGUAAGGCGACUGACCAUGCUGAGGCCAGCAGGGGUUUGGGGAGUCCAGGCAGGGCUUUCCCAGAUGAGAGGGAGCCAAAUCCAUGGAAACACGCCUGGACUGAACAGAGACCCUGAGGGGGAAGGAAGCUGGUUCACUGCGGAGGCCUAUAAAACAGGACCUUGGGGAGCCAUGUCGGGGUGCUACUCCUCUGUGCACCAGUAGGCGAGGGUUCUGGAGUGGCCCUGGCUGAGGAAUUCCCCUGGAGGCAUCAUCCUGUGGUUGCCUGAAGCCCCAGGCCCUCUGAGCCAACUUCUUGCCACUGCUGCUUGCUGGCCAGUUUGCCAGUGGUGGCAAGGGCCUGGCCUGGCCAGGCUGACCUGAGGUUGGCCCUCUGGACUGUCCUGUUUCCCUGGUCAUACCCAGCCCUAGCACACACAUCCUUGGCAGGCUGCCCCGUGCGGCUUCUGAGCUGGGGAGGCUGAUGGCAGACCGUACAUGGCAGGGUUUGCUUAUCGGUCUUUCUGGGGCAGUCAGUUGGCCUUGCCCCAGUGGGUAGUCCACUCUGCUUAGCUUCAUCAUCUCCUUUUUAAAAACUGAGCAGUUACUAUAGUCAGAGCCUAAUGCCAUAUGCAUAGUCUCGUCUAAUCCUCCCCAGGUACUUACUAUUAUAUUACAGACGAAGAAACUGAGGCUCGCAAAGGUUUUUGUGCUCUAGAUUCUGGAGCACAUAUGGAGUGAGCUAUGUGAUUUAACCACGUCUUUUUUUUUUUUUUUUCGAGACACAGUCUCCCUCUGUUACCCAGGCUGGAGUGCAGUGGUGCAGCUGUGGCUCACUGCAACCUCCACCUCCCAGGUUCAAGCGAUUCUCAUGCCUCAGCCUCCCAAGUAGCUGGGAUUACAGGCAUGCGCCAUCACGCCUGGCUAAUUUUUAGGGGCUAUUUUUACUAGAGACGGGGUUUUGCCAUGUCGACCAGGCUGAUCUUGAACUCCUGGCCUCAAGUGAUCCACCCGCCUUGGCCUCCCAAAGUGCUGGGAUUACAGGCAUGAGCCACUGCGCCUGGCCAAACCACUGUCUUACAUUGCCUUCCAUAGACCUCAGCAUCUGAUACUAUAAUAUGCCCUUAAGCACAAGAGAAUCUUCUCCAAAUACUUAGACCCAAAUUGUGUGAGAAGCCAAGACACUGGGAAAUUUCCUGCCAUAGUUGAGCAGCUCAUUCUCAAAAUACACAGGGCUGACUUCUUGGGUCACUGUGGGCCCAAGACUGAAGAGGAUGACUGGGUAGGGCCUACCAGGCACCUCUCAGGGAGGCUCAGCCCUCUUUUCCAGCCUUUUCUCCUCUUCUAGCACUUCUUGGAGGUCAGGACAAGAGGACUAAAGUGUUUGUCCUCUCCAGAGAAGAAUGCUAAGGUCUUGCAACACAAUCCUGGAACCAACAAAUAUGCGUCCUUCAAAUGCCACGCCAAGUGCUGUGCCAUGCUUGCCCUCCAUGGUUUUACUGUAGCUGUUCCUCUGCCUGGAUGCCCCCCAUUUUAUUGCCUUAGUCUCUAUUUCAGCUAAUUUUUUUUAUAACUAGCGUGGGCCCUCUUGAAAGGAGACCCUGAAAUAUACACCUGGGUGCCAUACCCAUAAUUUAUUUGGGAGGCGAUCUCAAGGAGUGCGGAGAUGGAAUAAGGAAGUGAGACAGGGAAGGAAAGGCACUGAUGAUGUGUUGAUGAGCAGAGACUGCCAUGGACAACUGGGGCUCCAUCUUGCUGGGGGCCUCAUCUUGCUGGGGGCCUCUGUAAGACUGUGUAGAGCAUACCUCAGGAUUGUUCCAUUAAGUGGCAAGGAAGAGGGGAUAUCUAUCCACCAGCUUCUGCUUUUUGUUGGUUUGAGGGUUCUUCUGUGGCUUUAACUUCCUGGCACAUAGAUCAAGCAACUCCAUGGAGGGCUAAGGGGAUAGGGUAGGCACUGACAGCACCUGCUAUAGCAUCCUUCAAGAUUUCACCCAAGCGGAUGCCCCCAGGCGAAUUAAGUGCCUUCCUUGGUAUUCUUUCCUAGGUAACAUUGGCUACCUUUCAUCAAGCAGAUUGAUGUGGCUCAUUCUGUAGUUUAGGACUAAACUUCCUGAUAACAGAGCCGCAUGGUUUAUUUCCUAGCCCUAGUGCCUGGGGUGGUGUCUGGCACACAGGAGAAAUGUUCUGACAAAUGAAUGGGAAAAGGUAUGACAGUGUACAUGGAGGAUCAUGGUGUUCUUCACAAUUCCCAGGAGUGGAUGGGGCAGGACUCAAAACAGUAAAAAUCAAAUUCAAGUUCCUGAAAUUCACAGCUCAAGUCCUCCAGCAUCCCAGCAUUGAGAAGGGCUAAGAUGAGAGUUGAGACGGAGGAGUGAGCAAAAGUGGAGGUAGAAAAUUGAGUCCCAGAAAACCUUCCAAUUCAGAUUCCCCACAUUCUUAGGAUCUUUGAGAGAAAAAAUCUGUUGGAAGAUUACAAGGUUAGACAGUAAAACUAUAGCAGCAGGGGGAAAAAAGAGCCAGUAAUUAUAUACUUGGCCACACUUUUAUGGAUUUAGAUAAAAAUCAGAGUCAUGGAUCUUUGGCCUUAGAAAGAACUUUAGAAGUUGUCUGGUCCCAUCCCUCCUUGUCGAUUUUAGGAGAAAACUGAGCCCCAGAGAGAGAAAUUGGCUUGUCUGAGGUCACACAGUGUUGAGUUCCUAAUUACCCAGUGAAAAGCAAAGGCGAUCUAAUUCUCACUGUUUCACUCUGGCUCUGGGUUUAUUUGCACAGCUAACCAGGUCUCACCUGCCCUGAUAUUAGCAAUGUGAGUCUUUCCCUGAAGGUAUGGCUAAGUAAACACACCUGGCAAGCAUCAAGCCACAGAGCGGUUUCAGGGGCUCUGACUCCAGCUGUUCCCAUUUACCCCCAGAACUCCAGGAAUAAUUACUCCCAAUACAGACUGCCCCAGAGACCCAGAAUUGGUAUCUUCUAAGUGAGUCCUGUCCAGCUCUCUUUACAACUCUUGCAGCCUGCAAUGGGGUGAUGAGGGCUGGCCCAGGUGACAGGUGACUGCUUGGCCAGCUGCCCCUGCCCUGCUCUCCAGAUGCCAGUCAGCUACGCUGAGGGGUCUUCCCCAAAACAUGGGAGUCAGAAUGUACACGCCUAAAGAUUACAUUCUUCUCUGACACCAGAGAUAAGCCAGAAGAAUGGGAGGGUGAUUGUGGGAGGAGACGGUACCAGGUUGUCAAGUCUCCGGGAAGAGCCAGCUCUCUCCCAAAAUGGAAUGUAGAAAAGAGGCUUCCAAGUGGUAGAAACCAAGAUAUCUGAGUGGGUUCACUGACGUGGCUGCCCUGCCUGUGAGGAAAUGAUCUGGAGGAAAUAAAGUAGUAAUGGGUUGAGACGCAUGUUUAUUUUCUUUUUGAAGUGUCACUCACCAAGUCAUAUUUCAGCAUGAGGAUUGAUAGAAUGCUUAGAAUUUUAGAAGAUACCAUUUGAGAUCCUUUUAAAAUCCAUAGUGGAAAAGAUUCAAACAGAAAUGUGAGUUCAGACUCUAACCUGCCACUUUAUUUUGCAUGUGACUUUAGGAAGUGGGAUGGGACAGUGGAUAGGAAAAUUUACAAAUUAUAUUCUGGAAUUUACCACAGCCAGAGGCAGCAUACUAGGGGAAAAGGACCUUAACUGGGACACAAGACGCUGGAUUCUCAUUCCGACACCGCUACCAUCUUUCUGGGUACAGUGUCUGUGUUCUUAAGCUUCUGUCUAUUUCUUAUUUUUCAUCUGUAAAGUAAAUGAAUUGGCUUAGCAGUUCAGCACAUGUAUCUUGAGACCAUGCUAGUGUACGACCCAGGUGCUCAGGAGAUAACACGGGGGCUCAGAGAUGAACAAGGCUUGGACCCUUCCCUCAAGCAGUUCCCAGCCUAGAAGGGAUGGAAGACAGAAAAAAAUCAUGCACAGUGUGAGCACACAGCACAUCACAAAAAGUUGAACUGUGAGCUCUGUUCAUCCAGAAAUUAUGUCUAACUUGUUCACUGCUGCAUCUGAGUAUCUGGCAGCAACUGCACACCAUAGAUGCUUAAGAGAGAUUUACUGGGCUGGGCGCGGUGGCUCACACCUGUAAUCCUAGCACUUUGGGAGGCCGAGGCGGGUAGAUCACCUGAGGUCAGGAGUUGGAGACGAGCCUGGCCAGCAUGGUGAAACCUCAUCUCUACUAAAAUACAAAAAAUUGACUGGGUGUGGUGGCACUCACCUGUAAUCCCAUCUACUCAGGAGGCUGAGGCAGGAGAAUCGCUUGAACCCAGGAGGUGGAGGUUGCAGUGAGCUGAGAUUGCACCGUUGCACUCCAGCUGGAUAACAAGAGCAAAACUCUGUCUCACAAAAAAAAAAAAAAAGAGAGAGAGAGAGACAGAUUUACUGAAUGAAUGAGUGUGACUGUGCCCUCUCCUUCUCCUGUUUCUGAUCAGUUACAUUUCCUUAUUUGGAAUUUUCUUCAGAAGAGCAGUCGGGGUUUGUCUGUGCAUUUAUUUAGAUUUCUAAUAUGUUAACGAAAAUUCUUUCAAAAAUAGAAGUGCUUGACAAACAAAGCAAUGAUUUGGAAUCUUGUGGAGCUCGAGUGUUAUUUAUUCCCCAUUGCUAUAGAAACGUGC
rnacentral:lncRNA from 1 species